GAGAAGCUGUCCUUGACGUCCUGGAGAGGGGUUACUCGGAGCUCAUCGGGAAGUUUUCACCCAGCUGGCGCAGCAAAACGGGGGUGAGGGAGGCCGCCCUCAGCUAACGGGGGUCAACCUCCCGCCGCCGGAGGAGCCUCCCCGACGGCACAGAGUAGCCCCGGGCGGGCGCCGCGCUCCUCGCGUCCCCCGAGCUCUGGUUUUCUUCUCCCUGAAACGCUGUGUACACAAAAGGCUCGCUUCUGCCUUUCAAUUAGGCUGCUGUGCCUUACACCCAAUCUCGUGCCGUUGUUGGCGACUGAGGAGUGUUACCGGAGGAGUCCGGGAUCCCCGAGGUGCAUCAGUGCCGAAAUAAGGGAGAACAGCAGCAUCGCUCAUCCCGGCCACCAAAGGUACACCCGUUUCGGUCAAUAUUUUUUUUUUCCCCCACUUCUCCUCGGUGUUUGCUAAAAGGCGCGGAGCUGCGUGCGAGUCCCACAGCCGAAGGAGAUGCGAAGCGCUUCUUCCAGCGGACGCUGCUCCCCAUCCCCUCCAUCCUGCGGAGUGGGGGAAUGGAAGGGGCUCGAAGUGCGGGGAGGGAACGGGGGGGGAUUCGCUAUUUUCCUUGAAGAACGGUUCAGAACAGUUAUUAUUAAUGCACGCAGCGGGCACCUGCUCGGCUCCCUGCCCGCUUCUCGAGCGGUACUUUUACUGCCCGUAAGCAGCGAUCCAGGGCCAGUAAUAGGAUCAGGAAGGCAGGCGUUAGGCGGAAUGCCGCAGCGGCACCACGCGUAAAGGCGAGCUCCCGACAAACGCCUUCGGCCGAGAGGCUGUAAACGUUUUAUGGGUAAUGAGAAAGGCAAGUGUUUGGCACGAAGGGAGGGGGCAGGGUCCCAGCACCCGCUACUGGAUGGGGUCGCGCUUGUUGCUGAAUGCUGGCAUGGGGACUUCGGCCUGCCGAAUGACCUCUGAAAGCAAGCCAGUAAAAUUUACAGAGGAAAAAGAAAUAUUUAAAGUCAAGGACUCCUCAAGUAGCUGAAAAUUAACUUCUGACAACACGCGAGAUUUUUCCCUCCCCACCGUAUCAAAGAAACGCCUGUACGUUAAUUUCACCCUGAAAGAUUUGAGAAAUAACAGCACCCCAGGGCAAAUUUUCAGCUUCAGAAGGACCCUUUGAGCCAAAGCAAGCGCAGGGAGCACGCCCAAAGCUGCGCAGUACAGCCGCACUGAUUUUGCGGCGGUGUUCGCACGCUUGGCGUAUACAGAAGCGCAGAACCCUGAGUUCUUCCGACGAGAUUUUAAUUAGGAAAUGGAAUUUCCCACUCUGGAGCUGUGCCUUCGGGUAGCAGAGGCAUGAUGGCUAGAAGCUGCCGCUUUGCCGAGCACUAUUCGGCUGCGACGGUUGGGCUGGGGUUACGGUGCCAACAAGCGGAGCGGGCCGGGGCUAUCCCAAACGGCGGCUCCCUUCCUUCCGUCCUCCGUUCUUGUUUCCUUCCUUAUUUUUUUUAAUUUCUUUCUUCUUUUUUUUUUUUUUUUUCUUUCUCCCUUCCGUGUGCUGCUGAGAACCGACUCCGUGAAUUUCUCGAAGUGGCCCUUUGGCUUUAUCACUGCUUAAUGCGAACGUUCCUUUCAAGAAGAAAGCAGCAGAGAGGCAAGGCUCUUGUCGCUAAUUCGUUGUUACCGUGGACACGGUUCUAAGCAGUUCGAUUUUUAUCGAUGGAAAAGAAAACGCUGAAAAUUGAGGUAAGGAUUGGAUUAGCUCCGUGUCUGCCACCGCAGUGCAGUGUGCGCUGCGCGAUGCUUACGAGCGGAGCUGCCGCUUGCUCAGAGCUGACCUUGAAAAAGAGAAGAGCGUGGCGAGGCGGGCACCGCUCCAUCAGACUAAAGCGCAUCUGUUAUCUUUAGAUAUUUAAAUCCCUUCGUCAAGAUUAUGGCGUUAUUCCAAAUUGUAAAACGCGGCUAUUUCGCUUCUCGCUGCUGCAAGAAAAUAAACCCUCCACUUUUCCCACUCUAGAAUAGCGUUUUAAAAGAACCCAAAGCAUCAAAACGUUUUUGCUUUUUAUUUUGCUUUCCUGAUUCAACUCUGAGACGUUACAAACGAUUACGGGUUGGAAAACCCAUCGGAAACAGCGUGGUCACAUUAUGACAAAGUGAUAACCCGACGCUUGCAAAAUGGUGACAGUUGCAAAGUUGUUUUUUAUUUUGUUUUUCUUUUCUUCCCCCCCCUUUGUUUCCUUUCCUUUAAAAAUAAACCUUUCGAAAAAUAAAAUAAAUAAUAAUCCCAAAUGCUUCCGCAGUAAGUGCUAAUCCCCUUUCUCUAUUGCAAGGCCGGGCCGGGCAAUAGGAAGCUCAUUUAAUUAUUUUCAUUCUAAUCGCUUUAAUCCC